rnacentral:rRNA from 1 species
CACGAACGCUGGCGGCGUGCCUAAUACAUGCAAGUCGAGCGGAUGACGGAGGAGCUUGCUCCUCCUGAUUCAGCGGCGGACGGGUGAGUAACACGUGGGCAACCUGCCCUGUAGAUUGGGAUAACUCCGGGAAACCGGGGCUAAUACCGAAUAAUCCUUCGGACCUCAUGGUCCGAUGUUGAAAGACGGCAUCUCGCUGUCACUACAGGAUGGGCCCGCGGCGCAUUAGCUAGUUGGUGAGGUAACGGCUCACCAAGGCCACGAUGCGUAGCCGAACUGAGAGGGUGGUCGGCCACACUGGGAAGGAGACACGGCACAGACUCCUACGGGAGGCAGCAGUAGGGAAUCUUGCACAAUGGACGAAAGUCUGAGGGAGCAACGCCGCGUGAGUGAAGAAGGUUCUCGGAUCGUAAAACUCUGUUGUGAGGGAAGAACAAGUACCGGAGUAACUGCCGGUGCCUUGACGGUACCUCAUUAGAAAGCCACGGCUAACUACGUGCCAGCCGCCGCAGUAACAC